AGCAUAUCAAUAAGCGGAGGAAAAGAAACCAACAGGGAUUGCCUUAGUAACGGCGAGUGAAGCGGCAACAGCUCAAAUUUGAAAGCUGGCUCCUUUGGAGUCCGCGUUGUAAUUUGUAGAGGAUGAUUCGGCAAGGGCUCCCGCCUAAGUCUCCUGGAACGGAGCGUCAUAGAGGGUGAGAAUCCCGUAUGCGGUGGGCUGCCUAAGCCAUGUGAAUCUCCUUCGACGAGUCGAGUUGUUUGGGAAUGCAGCUCUAAAUGGGAGGUAAAUUUCUUCUAAAGCUAAAUACCGGCCAGAGACCGAUAGCGCACAAGUAGAGUGAUCGAAAGAUGAAAAGCACUUUGGAAAGAGAGUUAAAAAGUACGUGAAAUUGUUGAAAGGGAAGCGCUUGCAGCCAGACUUGUCCGCAGUUGCUCAGCCGGUCUCCUGACCGGUGUACUCUUCUGCGGCCAGGCCAGCAUCAGUUCGGGCGGUCGGAUAAAGACCUCGGGAAUGUAGCUCCUCUCGGGGAGUGUUAUAGCCCGGGGUGGAAUGCGGCCAGCCUGGACUGAGGAUCUCGCUUCGGCUAGGAUGCUGGCGUAAUGGCUGUAAGCGGCCCGUCUUGAAACACGGACCAAGGAGUCUAACAUCUAUGCGAGUGUUUGGGUGUCAAACCCAUGCGCGUAAUGAAAGUGAACGGAGGUGGGAACCCUCACGGGUGCACCAUCGACCGAUCCUGAUGUCUUCGGAUGGAUUUGAGUAAGAGCAUAGCUGUUGGGACCCGAAAGAUGGUGAACUAUGCCUGAAUAGGGUGAAGCCAGAGGAAACUCUGGUGGAGGCUCGCAGCGGUUCUGACGUGCAAAUCGAUCGUCAAAUUUGGGUAUAGGGGCGAAAGACUAAUCGA
rnacentral:rRNA from 1 species